UGGAUCACCUCCUAACAGGGAGACAACAACUGAUUUUGAUGUCUGAGUCAUUUAUUCUCAGGCCGAAAUCCUGUCAUCUCGAAGGUCGAUCGGUACCUCAACUUGAGGGUCUAGAGAAUUUAUUCUGCUAGAUCAACUCAAUUUCAGUUCCUAAACUUUGUCUAGGUCACCCACUAAGGGUACAUAACUCCUGGGCCAUUAGCUCAGGUGGUUAGAGCGCACCCCUGAUAAGGGUGAGGUCCCUGGUUCAAGUCCAGGAUGGCCCAUUCGUGUUUGGGGGUUUAGCUCAGUUGGUAGAGCGCCUGCUUUGCAAGCAGGAUGUCAGCGGUUCGAGUCCGCUAACCUCCAUCCAACAGGAGGCCCCUUGGUCCGAAUUCUGAAAGGAGUUCCUGGUGAGGUGACAUAGAUGAAUUUCGGAACUGGCAUCAAACGAUGGCCAGGUAAGCAACGCUGAGUCAACCGACUCCAGCCUCGUUUCAUUCCAGAGUUGAUGAUCUAACAAGAGAUCAACCGGUUGAAACGAUGCUGGACUCGAGGCUUUUAACCAAAGCCUUAAGUUUCAGCAGAACCUUGACAACUGCAUAGGUAAGUCUGGAAAUAAAGCAUCUCAUGGAUGCCCAGAUGCAAAAGAGAUCAAGUGAGGGUGAAUAGCCUGAGCUUGAAAUUUUAGUGUUUGGGAAAAUUCUAUUGAGUUUUUAGAGCCGAGAAAUCCAAUGGUUCUUUUCAGCCAUCCAAGUUAACUGCGUGGAAGGCUAGAAGAGUUUGAUCCUGGUAUUCAAGUCUGAUUGAGCUGACCUGAAAAGGUGAGGUUAAAACGAUACUGAAUCUAGAGAGAAUGGGCCUCAACAGCCUGAAGCC
rnacentral:tRNA from 1 species